AACGCGAAGAACCUUACCUGGGCUUGAACCGCACAGGACCAUUCCUAGAAAUAGGGACUUCCCGCAAGGGACCUGUGUAGAGGUGCUGCAUGGCUGUCGUCAGCUCGUGCCGUGAGGUGUUGGGUUAAGUCCCGCAACGAGCGCAACCCUUACUCGUAGUUGCCACCCGCAAGGGGGAACUCUACGAGGACUGCUCCGGAUAACGGAGAGGAAGGUGGGGAUGAGGUCAAGUCAGCAUGGCCUUUAUGUCCAGGGCUACACACGUGUUACAAUGCGCGCCACAAAGCGUCGCGAACCCGCGAGGGGGAGCUAAUCGCAAAAAAGCGCGCUCAGUUCGGAUUGCAGUCUGCAACUCGACUGCAUGAAGCCGGAAUCGCUAGUAAUGGCGCAUCAGAACGGCGCCGUGAAUACGUUCCCGGGCCUUGUACACACCGACUGUAC
rnacentral:rRNA from 1 species